rnacentral:lncRNA from 1 species
UCGCGCGCACAGGUAGCCAAGGUGAGACACCACAUAAACUUGGCCUCCCCAAUACACAACAUCUGUUAUGCAAACCCCAAUACCAAUAUUAUUUUUGGCCCUUGAAGGGCAUCUCCAAGUGUCAUCUCCAACUCUACAAAAGGACAAUCGUCUCUGUUCACCCCACAAGGCCACAGCAAUGCAAUCCUCCUCAUUACUAGUGGGAUCCCCAGAUAAGAUGAUUUUGUACACAUAAAAGCUCUCAAUAUCUUUCAAACUCAUGGUGGAUUCAAAAGUAUCAUAAAUACCAUGU